UGUGUCUGUACAUCUGUGUCAGUGUUUGUAUCUGUGUGUCUGAAAAUCUGUAUGAUACAAACACUGACGCAGAUGUACUGACACACAGAUGC